rnacentral:snRNA from 1 species
UUAAUUACCUGGCAGGGGAGAUACCAUGAUCACUAAGGUGGUUCUCCCAGGGCGAGGCUCAUCCAUUGCACUCCGAGUGUGCUGACCCCUGCGAUUUCCCCAAAUGCGGGAAACUCGACUGCAUAAUUUAGUAAAUUUAAGUAAAGUCUUGUAUUAAU